CUGGUUUCUCUUCAGAUCGUAUAAAUCUUUCGCCUUUUACUAAAGAUUUCCGUGGAGAGGAACAGGCACGAGUGUCGAGAAAUUUUUUGAGGCUCCAUUUCGGUGGAGCUGCCCCUACUCUGGUUAAAAAAAGAACAAGCUCUAGUUCCUUAGAAGGCCAGCCCUGAAACACUGCACAUGAUUGAUGGAGUCCAGGCAGAAUAACUGACCUCCAAAUACAGCUGGCACCUCCGGACACACAGCAAGGAUGGAGUCCACAGGUGGCAGGUUUUAAAUCAACAAACCUGCAGGCACUGCCCAUCGAGAUCAUUUUGAUGACAUCCUCAGCACAGCCAACUCGUUUUUCUUGGAGACCAACAACCUGGACCUGUUGCUUGCCAUCCUCCAGGACUCGAAGUUUGGCCUUCUUAUUCAAGAGGUCAAACACCUAUAUUUAGGCAAAAAGAUUGAGGAAAAUCUGAACAAGGACACCUUCAGCUGCCAAAUGUUUUCUGGUUUGCAAAGAAGUGGAGGGAUCUACUGCCAUCUCAUCUUCCUGGAAGCCACACUGGGAUUCCAUGAUAGCAGACAUCCUGGAACGGCCACGCACAGCUUUGGAAACAGCAAUCAGGGACACUCAGACACUUGCAAUUAAUCAGUUGUUCACCAAGUACAGAGCAGUGGAGAAGGUGUGGUUAAAAGGAUCUUUCCCAUUAGCAAAGUGCAGGACAAGCAAAGCACGUGGGUGAAAAGUGGUCAAUAAACCCACCACCAACGAAAAGCAAACAGUUCAUUCCAGAUUUGCAAUUCCAGUGAAUUUCUUUCAGACCCCACUAAGGAUAUUGCAGUUCCAGCACCCUAACACUUAAUACCUAGGAAGAAGAAGUUUCAAGUCAGAACGACUAAAUGCUCUGGAGCUUCACACUUGCAGGGCUGCAUGAAUUAACUCUUUGGUGGUGACAUGGGUACAGCAGCCUGGCAAGUGGCCAUGGGCAGCAGGGUGCCCACCCACCAUGAGGGCACCCACACACAGGCUGUGUGUGGUGCACAGUAGGCUGGGAGUUCUGUGGCACUACAUUCAGCUAAAAGACCCUGUAUAACCACAACAGCAAAUCUUUGAAAAGGGUCCCUUUGUAGGCAGCCUCCAUUUUCACAUGCCAAGGUAUUUCUUUCACUGAGAUCAAGUCCUUUACAAAGCUCCCUAGGAGAAGGAUUGGAAUGUUUACCUCAAUAGAUUUGCUGUAAAAAAAAGCAAAUCUGAUAUGAAAAAGAGUGUGAUAUGUAAACUAGAACUCCCUUCACCUCUCGUGACCAGCAAUUACAAGAAUUGAUCCAGAAUGAAUCACUGUUAUUUCAAAGGACACCAGAUGAGUUGGCGACCAAGGGUUCUUUUCAAUUCUGAAUCAAAUUCCUUAGAGCCAUAUACAAAAUGCAUUGUUCCUGUUAACUCUUUACCUUGAAUCUCCUGCUCAUGUGCAGAGACAUUAGAUGUGACUGCUGCAAUUUUAGAAACAAAAAGCGUAAGUUUCAUUAUCCUCAGAAAGGGCAUUUUACUCCAUUUUCUCUUGUCCCACAUGCCCAGACCUGAUCUCAUCUCACACUCAAGAGCACUGUUUCUAUAAAUGCUGGUGCUUCUGGACAGGCAGAUUAACUGGAGGAUUCACUCCUCCAGUGGGUUUGAUUCAAGUGAUUCUUGUAUGUAAAGAUAUUCAGAAUACUCAAAAAUUCCUGUUGAUUCCUGGGACUGAGACAAUAUCUAUUCCUUAAUUAAUUCUGAAAGCACUGCUUCUGCCUCUCUCCUUUCCUGAAUAAGAUGGAGGCAGACACUUGCUGAUCUUCUUUAAUUUGUUUAGUCUAAGAACAUGAGUGAAGCCAAUGUUAGCUCUUUAAAUGGUGCAGUGCAGAGUUUGCAACAGGACAGAUACUCUGACACUCCUGGGCUUUAGCUAGCUUUAACAAUAGAAAUUAUUUGAUGAGUACUGAAAACACUGCUGCUCUAAGCUCUGAGCAGGGACAAGACUGUGCUGCUAGCACAGGCAACAGAUAUUUUAGCUAUGCUAUUAGAUUCUAUACUUCAGGAGAGCUGUGACCUCUGCAAGGACAUGUUUCCAUCAACCAGUGACUGGAUUAACACACAUUGUGUUUUCCAGCUGGCUAUCCAGUUCUAUUAACAGACCAAUAUAUAGACAGACAGUCAUGACUUUACCACAUCAUUUUGCUUGUCAGUUCACAAAAUUUACGGAGCUCUCUGAAUUUGAGAAAGAUCAGGAUACUCCAGAACAGCUUCUUACACACUAGGAUUCUUGCUUCUCAGAUGCCAGGGAAUUUGUACUGUUGUCUUCUGGGACCAGCUUCCCUGUCUCACAUUGCAUGCAACAGAAGAGGCCAAACAUGCCCAGAUGUUUUGUUUACAGCUCAGUUGAAUAGAGAAGCACAAGUUUUGGCUAACUAUGCACUUUAAGAGAAUAAUUCAAUCAGCAAUCAUUCAACCUCAGCAUCAUACAGUGUAUUACAAACAGACCUGUAAUGCUGCCA